rnacentral:lncRNA from 1 species
GGACUGGCUUCUCUGCCUUGGACUCUGACAUGAUCAUAUGAUGAUGUACACUAAUGUACUCUAAACAAUUCAUUUCAUUGUUUCUUGCCCUUUCUGGUGAGGAAUUUAAUCCGUUCUGUUCCAGCUCCUCCCCUUCACAGCAGAUGGAUUUUGCUGUUCCGUGGAAAGAACUCUAAGCCAGGAAUCAAGAACUGUGACCUUACACAUUUAUAAGAUGUAACAAGACCCCCUUGGAGCACAGAUGCUACCCAAUAUGGAUUGUGCACCCUGCAGUCACUCACCUUGGGCCCUGGUCAGGUAUAAAUAUUUAAUUCCAAUUUAGUAAUCCCUCAACUAAUAAUGGCUAUAAGAAUCAUUUAUUCUAGUUUGGUUUAAUUAUUUGUUGCUUGACCUAAAUUCUGCAAAUUCUUUCCUAUAUGCCUUCACAUUCUGUUCUUGAG